rnacentral:rRNA from 1 species
GGGUUGUGAGGUUAAGCGACUAAGCGUACACGGUGGAUGCCCUGGCAGUCAGAGGCGAUGAAGGGCGUGCUAAUCUGCGAUAAGCGCCGGUAAGGUGAUAUGAACCGUUAUAACCGGCGAUACCCGAAUGGGGAAACCCAGUGUGACUCGUCACACUAUCAUUAACUGAAUCCAUAGGUUAAUGAGGCGAACCGGGGGAACUGAAACAUCUAAGUACCCCGAGGAAAAGAAAUCAACCGAGAUUCCCCCAGUAGCGGCGAGCGAACGGGGAGGAGCCCAGAGCCUGAAUCAGCAUGUGUGUUAGUGGAAGCGUCUGGAAAGGCGCGCGAUACAGGGUGACAGCCCCGUACACAAAAGCGCAUGUGCUGUGAGCUCGAUGAGUAGGGCGGGACACGUGGUAUCCUGUCUGAAUAUGGGGGGACCAUCCUCCAAGGCUAAAUACUCCUGACUGACCGAUAGUGAACCAGUACCGUGAGGGAAAGGCGAAAAGAACCCCGGCGAGGGGAGUGAAAAAGAACCUGAAACCGUGUACGUACAAGCAGUGGGAGCCCCACCACCAAAGCAUUUGCUGUACCGCGUUGACGGAGCGAAGCGACGUCAAACCGAUAAAACAGCAGUGUAAAGUGAGCCGCAGGGCGCUUUGCGCGACAGCGCAAAGGCAGGCGGUUUCGCGUAGCGAAAGCGAAUGCUUUGGGGUGGGGUGACUGCGUACCUUUUGUAUAAUGGGUCAGCGACUUAUAUUCUGUAGCAAGGUUAACCGAAUAGGGGAGCCGGAGGGAAACCGAGUCUUAAUUGGGCGUUAAGUUGCAGGGUAUAGACCCGAAACCCGGUGAUCUAGCCAUGGGCAGGUUGAAGGUUGGGUAACACUAACUGGAGGACCGAACCGACUAAUGUUGAAAAAUUAGCGGAUGACCUGUGGCUGGGGGUGAAAGGCCAAUCAAACCGGGAGAUAGCUGGUUCUCCCCGAAAGCUAUUUAGGUAGCGCCUCGUGAAUUCAUCUCCGGGGGUAGAGCACUGUUUCGGCUAGGGGGCCAUCCCGGCUUACCAACCCGAUGCAAACUGCGAAUACCGGAGAAUGUUAUCACGGGAGACACACGGCGGGUGCUAACGUCCGUCGUGAAGAGGGAAACAACCCAGACCGCCAGCUAAGGUCCCAAAGUCAUGGUUAAGUGGGAAACGAUGUGGGAAGGCCCAGACAGCCGAGGAUGUUGGCUUAGAAGCAGCCAUCAUUUAAAGAAAGCGUAAUAGCUCACUGGUCGAGUCGGCCUGCGCGGAAGAUGUAACGGGGCUAAACCAUGCACCGAAGCUGCGGCAGCGACACUGUGUGUUGUUGGGUAGGGGAGCGUUCUGUAAGCCUGUGAAGGUGUGUCGUGAGGCAUGCUGGAGGUAUCAGAAGUGCGAAUGCUGACAUAAGUAACGAUAAAGCGGGUGAAAAGCCCGCUCGCCGGAAGACCAAGGGUUCCUGUCCAACGUUAAUCGGGGCAGGGUGAGUCGACCCCUAAGGCGAGGCCGAAAGGCGUAGUCGAUGGGAAACGGGUUAAUAUUCCCGUACUUGGUGUUACUGCGAAGGGGGGACGGAGAAGGCUAUGUUGGCCGGGCGACGGUUGUCCCGGUUUAAGCGUGUAGGUGUGUGUUCCAGGUAAAUCCGGUUCACUUUAACACUGAGGCGUGACGACGAGGCACUACGGUGCUGAAGCAACAAAUGCCCUGCUUCCAGGAAAAGCCUCUAAGCAUCAGGUAACAUCAAAUCGUACCCCAAACCGACACAGGUGGUCAGGUAGAGAAUACCAAGGCGCUUGAGAGAACUCGGGUGAAGGAACUAGGCAAAAUGGUGCCGUAACUUCGGGAGAAGGCACGCUGACACGUAGGUGAAGUGAUUUACUCAUGGAGCUGAAGUCAGUCGAAGAUACCAGCUGGCUGCAACUGUUUAUUAAAAACACAGCACUGUGCAAACACGAAAGUGGACGUAUACGGUGUGACGCCUGCCCGGUGCCGGAAGGUUAAUUGAUGGGGUCAGCGCAAGCGAAGCUCCUGAUCGAAGCCCCGGUAAACGGCGGCCGUAACUAUAACGGUCCUAAGGUAGCGAAAUUCCUUGUCGGGUAAGUUCCGACCUGCACGAAUGGCGUAAUGAUGGCGGGCUGUCUCCACCCGAGACUCAGUGAAAUUGAACUCGCUGUGAAGAUGCAGUGUACCCGCGGCAAGACGGAAAGACCCCGUGAACCUUUACUAUAGCUUGACACUGAACAUUGAGCCUUGAUGUGUAGGAUAGGUGGGAGGCUUUGAAGUGUGGACGCCAGUCUGCAUGGAGCCGACCUUGAAAUACCACCCUUUAAUGUUUGAUGUUCUAACGUGGACCCGUUACCCGGGUUGCGGACAGUGUCUGGUGGGUAGUUUGACUGGGGCGGUCUCCUCCUAAAGAGUAACGGAGGAGCACGAAGGUUGGCUAAUCCUGGUCGGACAUCAGGAGGUUAGUGCAAUGGCAUAAGCCAGCUUGACUGCGAGCGUGACGGCGCGAGCAGGUGCGAAAGCAGGUCAUAGUGAUCCGGUGGUUCUGAAUGGAAGGGCCAUCGCUCAACGGAUAAAAGGUACUCCGGGAUAACAGGCUGAUACCGCCCAAGAGUUCAUAUCGACGGCGGUGUUUGGCACCUCGAUGUCGGCUCAUCACAUCCUGGGGCUGAAGUAGGUCCCAAGGGUAUGGCUGUUCGCCAUUUAAAGUGGUACGCGAGCUGGGUUUAGAACGUCGUGAGACAGUUCGGUCCCUAUCUGCCGUGGGCGCUGGAGAACUGAGGGGGGCUGCUCCUAGUACGAGAGGACCGGAGUGGACGCAUCACUGGUGUUCGGGUUGUCAUGCCAAUGGCACUGCCCGGUAGCUAAAUGCGGAAGAGAUAAGUGCUGAAAGCAUCUAAGCACGAAACUUGCCCCGAGAUGAGUUCUCCCUGAGACUUAGAGUCUCCUGAAGGAACGUUGAAGACGACGACGUUGAUAGGCCGGGUGUGUAAGCGCAGCGAUGCGUUGAGCUAACCGGUACUAAUGAACCGUGAGGCUUAACCUUACAACGCCGAAG